GCCCCGCGGUAGCGCACACCAAAAUGCAAACUUGGAGAAGCACCCUAAAGGUGCCGGGGCUUCUCCCGUUUCCUGAUUAGACGGGAGAAGG
rnacentral:tRNA from 1 species